UUUUGGGAGCCUGUGGUGGGCUAAGAUGACCCAAGAAGAUACUAUUGGGCCAGUAGUUUGAGUCCUUAUUUUGAUGGAUUUGAUUCGAUUCGGACUUGGGAUUUGACCUGAGAUUUAUUCCGGACUCGGGAUUUGACCCGGGUUGUUUCAUAUGGUAUCAAAGCCGACUCUCGAAAGCUCGGGUCGGGUCAUCCGAUCGGGUUGCCGGAGGUGGGGACACGAAAGCUGGUGGUAUUAUCCCACAAUGGAG
rnacentral:lncRNA from 1 species